UGAUAUUUGAAAGUCUUGAAACUUCUUGCCUCAACUGGAAGAGAAAAGAAACAAAUAGAAAAAUAAAGACGGAAAAUGAACGCACACCUAAUGUGCCUCAGCUCUCACCCAGCUGAGAAGCCAAGCACCAUGGGAUUUAUCUUAACCCACCACAAAGAAGAAAACAACACUCGGACCCUGCAUGUGUGGGCUGAAUGCUUCAAGAGAAAUUUAUCAAGGGAAAAUAUCAAGCAGGUUUGAGUAAUGAAUACAUCUCAUGAAGCCACAAUAUGUGAGCAGGAAAAAGAAUUUAAACUGUUUAAAUGCAUUAAAUAAAUUAUCUGCAA